rnacentral:rRNA from 1 species
AUUGAACGCUGGCGGCAGGCCUAACACAUGCAAGUCGAGCGGAGCGGCGGACGGGUGAGUAAUGCCUAGGAAUCUGCCUGGUAGUGGGGGAUAACGUCCGGAAACGGGCGCUAAUACAGCAUACUAUCAGAUGAGCCUAGGUCGGAUUAGAUAGUUGGUGGGGUAAAGGCCUACCAAGGCGACGAGGCGUAACUGGUCUGAGAGGAUGAUCAGUCACACUGGAACUGAGACACGGCCCGUACUCCUACGGGAGGCAGCAGUGGGGAUUAUUGGACAAUGUGCUAAAGCCUGAUCCAGCCAUGCCGCGUGGGUGAAGAAGGUCUUCGGAUUGUAAAGCACUUUAAGUUGGGAGGCGUUACCAACAGAAUAAUCACCGGCUAACUUCGUGCCAGCAGCCGCGGUAAUUC